UACGGCAAGUUUUCUUCGAGGCAAAAUGGCGGCUGGAUGUUGUGAGAAGUUAUAGCUGCUCUCAAUGUUUCUCGGAUUCCAUGCUCUUCAGCAGCAGCAGCAGCGUGGCCCCUGUGCAGGGAGGGUGUCCCCAUGUACCAGUGCCUGAAAUUUGUGGACCGAUUCAUCCGCAAGGACCACAAGCCCGGACUGGGCUCCGCCGGAGGCUCAGGUGGACCAGCAGGUGCGGGGCAGGUGUACCACGAGCGGCAGGUGAAGGAGCUGUGCGCCCUGCAUGCUCUCAACAACCUGUUCCAGGACGGUCAGGCCUUCACCAAGGGCUCGCUCGACGACAUCUGCCACAGGUUCCUGUCUCCCGACCACCUCGUGAACCCGCACAAGAGCAUGCUAGGCCUGGGAAACUACGAUGUUAACGUCAUAAUGUCCGCUCUGCAGCUACGCGGAUACGAGGCCAUCUGGUUCGACAAGCGCAAGGAUCCGUCUUGCAUUGACCUGAACAAAAUUGUGGGCUUCAUCCUGAACGUGCCCAGCGAAAUGAAGUUCGGCUUCCUCCAGUUUCCCCUCAGCCGGAAGCAUUGGAUUGCCGUGCGCGAGGUCAACGGCACUUUCUACAACCUCGACUCGAAGCUUGAGGCACCAAUCCCCAUUGGCAAGUCUCAGGAGCUGCUCCAGUACCUGCGGGAGCAGAUCAAGUGCAAGGAUCGAGAGAUCUUCAUCGUGGUCACGCAAGACAUUGGCAGGGUCAAGGGCUGCUACAUCGAGACGUCAAAGCCGACGCCUCCACGGCAGCCAUCGCAGCAGAGCAUGGUGCCACGUGAACACACGUCGCGAACGAACUUCCGGUAGAAGUGAUGUUGCCGACAGAGUAUAGUGUGGCGGGACCCAAGUGUGCCCAACAGAGGAAUCGUCUGGACCCGAAAAGCCAGAGAGACGGGAAGCGGGAAAAAGGAGGGAACUCAGGACUGCUACCUCCCUUCCUCAUCGGGGUCCCUAGAUUCUACCGGACGUGGCUGUACCGUGUCGUCUGCUACAAGUGUCCUGUGAUGUCCGCCCCAGUGCACCAUCGGCUAGCAGGGUGCAUGUCGCCGCAUGCUAGGUGGUGAACUGUUUCUUGCCUGCCAGCCACGAAAAAGGCCUGGCUUCGGGAGCGCGCCCCGCAUUGCCGAAGUGAGCUUCAUCCGGUGUUCUUGUUCAUUGCCUAAGCAGACGCAGACUGUCGUCUGCUUUUUACGCGCUCGCGAGGGUGCGAGCAGCUCUUUCACAAGUCCUACACUUAACGUGCCUGCCCAGUGAAGCUGUCUGUGCUUUUGCCUUGCUUACUUUCUCUACCGACGGCACAGUGGCAGCCGAGAUUGUUUUUGCAGUUUGAAGUAGUCGCCCGCUGAUGAACGACGGUAAAAUUCGUGGCCAGUGCUUAACGCCGCGCUCUCCGCAGAGCCACGGCACGCACAAAGGCGCCAAUCAAAUGAACAAAAAAAAAAAAGCUUGAGCAGUGCCUCUGUGUGUGAACAGCAACGAAUCUCUUGUCAGCUAGCCCUAACUUGUCUCCGGUUGGUGGCGAGAGUCAAAGGCAUCACUGAAGCUGUGUUGUUUUGUUGAUUGGUUCCAAGUAAUCCAGUGCUUGCAAGUUAUCUCAGCAUAGUGGUUGUACCGAUGGCUGGGACUUUUGAUUUUAUGGAGUGGGAGCUCGAUUCAAAACGAUGCCCUGGGUGUUUUCGCAGAGGUGUUACACAUGCAUCAGGGAACCUUUUAACACUUCAUUGUGCCAUCAACGGUGUCAUUUGUUUUGUUUCUUCUUUUUGUAUUUUGUGUUACUUUUUAACCAGCAUCGAUCACUGCUAACAUGAGAAAUAUUGAAUCAAUGUAUGAAACUGCCGUUUUGUCUAUCUUAUGUGUUCGGGAGGCCGGCCUCAUCACAAUUAUAAAGCCCAAGGGGUUUUCGCAGCUGCCACAUUCUACGACAAGGCAUGAAGGGAUCCUGUGUCUUGAUCACGUCCACGUCACAGACAGCGUUUGCGUUGCUCUAAUCAGUCAUUCGCGUAGUCGCUGUGAAAAAGACAGGCCCGUUCGUAACGCCUGAAGUUGCACUGUCGCGGUGUUGAGUCCCGAUGUUAUGAUGAGAACAAAAUAUAUGUAAAUAACAGAGACAUAUGGGAAUUUUAAGGUUUAUGGAAAUAAGCACCGGUUUUUCUCCUGUACAUACACUUUGACUUUUGGAAGCUCUAUAAACCAAAAUCAAGUUCUGUGUUAAGCCUUAGCCUUGACAGCAGCACAGCCUUUGCCUUCAUGCAUGUCUGCAAAGAAGCCGCUUUGAGAACCGUACUGGACAUUUUCGUUAUGUUAAGCAUUAUUACUUGUAAUGCUGUUCGAGUGGUUUUGUCAGUGGAGACAUUAAAUUAGGGGGAAAUGGAAAUGUCUUAUCUAUCGCAGCCCAUUAAUUUGCCCUGACAGGAUAAGGCAGGAGAUACAUUGUGCAGUCCCGCGUCCGAUACAAUGCACUGCAGAUUUCAGACAUAGCUAUCCGACUACUGGAACCUGUCGGAUAGUUGUUGGAUGUGGCUCUUGGUACGACAGGUCGUGUGUUAGUUGGCAUGCUGAAUUGUACCAUGCGUCUUUUAAGCAGCUCUGUGUGCCAUAGUGGUAGAAGUGAUGCAGUGAUUGCGUAGGGGUGGACAGCCAGCGUCAGGUGACCACCAGUUAGCUGUUUUCAUCUGAUGGAGCUAGAAACUGGACUCCUGGAAAACCUUGAAUACUCUUACACUAACAAAACAUGACCACUGGCCCAUUUUUCUUGCUUUUCGUGGUAAUUGCAACAAUGUGGCGGUCUGGUGUUGCAUUCUCGGUUCUCUAGCUUCACACUGAGCAUUUUGCAGUACAGGAAUAACUUUUCUUAGCCUCUCUCAUGUUUCCCUUUCCCUUAUUUCUUUUUGUACAAUAUCAGGUAGCAAGAACUUUGUCUUCUUUCGAAUUCAAAGCCUGGCAGCAAUAAAAUCGCCGUAAAUUGUGAGGAAGGCAAUUCGCGGAAUAAUAUGGCAGUGACAGCCUCUUGCAAUGCGGCCUGUACAUGUAAUGUUAGCGCUUUGCCUAUGCGAAGUGCUUUUACCGAAUCACCUGUUACAUUGUCAAUUUGUUUCCUACUUCACGAGGAAAACUGCGAUUCAUUAUUCCGAGAAGUCUGCCUAGACAAAAUCGUGCCAAUCCUUUAUUUGAUUAUAUUUCUUAUUUAUUUAUACUUACUUUUCCCUUUUGUUGCAUGCAAUGUGUUGCACUCAUCUGCAACACCGUGUUGGCGAGCUGCACAAUGAAGCAGCCCCUGUAAAGUUUUCCUUUAUGAUUGCACUGGCACAUUAUGGUGUGAGCCAAAUGAAUCUGAAAUACUGACAAAGCAAACAGUUGUAUGCAAGAUAGCACAAAUGUGGCGAGCCCGUCCAGAACACACGAGCAGGUUAUUGACAGAGUUUCUCAUUCAAAAAUUUUUUAAAGUUUUUGUGCCACUGCCUCUACUUCAAUGUUGCCUUUGACACAUUUUUUUUUUCUUGACACCCUAAACACGUGCGUAUUGAUAGUGACCAGAAUCUUGUGAGACAAGGCGUGUGCCUUUGUGUCGGUCUUAAAAGUUGAUGCCGUCAGAAGGCGGCAAUCCCUGCCGACUAUAUGGAAUUGUAAGCUGGAAGCUCGGUGCAGUCCCAGUCAAGUGCUGAAGUGCACGAUUGUGAUACGAUAGAACCUCGAUGUAACGAAAACCGAUAUAACGAAUUAUUGGAUGUAACCGAGCAAAUUCAAUGUUUCUCGCCAAUAUCAGAGUUAACGAAUAUAUGCUUGUAACGAAUAUCGGAUAUAACAAAGGUAUUUUUAUGUCAGAUGCAACUUCAUUAUAACGAUGCUCGACUGCACUAUGUGUAUGAAGCCUCCCACAUUUUAGUGCGAAGGCCCUUUUCUAGCUGCUGGGACACUUAUUUUGCCAACAAUGUGCACUUUAAUGAUUACUGUGCAGUUUAUGUUUACCGCCGCUCUGCCUUGGUUGUGUGCCCCUGUUUAUAUUUUUAUUGUAUUCCACCGUUAUUUAUUUCAGGAUUAUCGUUGACAGCGAGUGCUUCUUACAAUGUCGCAAGUACUUUGCAGAGAGCCUGAAGUUUACAAUAGUAAAUAUGUAGGCCUGACCUAACUGGUGAGGGACACUUGAAGCAAGUAUCAAGUCAAUCUGAUGUUAUACAUUGGUGGAGCAAGGUGCCCAAAUUGUGUAACUUUUGCACGAGAACAGGGCUUUUGCAAGUGCAAAUAUCUUCCAUAAAUUGUUGAAAACUGUGCUUUUCUAAAGGGAGGCGGUAAUUACCUACUGAACUAAAAUCUUAAAAACCAGUAUAGCUGCAGUAUAGUAUAGCAGUUGCUACGUAGUUGCAAAUUCAUGGUUGCAACUCCACAGUUGCUAGGUGAACCGCGCGUUUUGGUGAAAGAGCCAGCACAGGGCUACCAAGAAGUAAAGCAUAACUCAUUUCUUUUCACUAUUUUUGUGUGCGUGUGUUCAGGCUCAUCUACAAGUGACAAAGGAAUUAACGCCAGUACUGCAAACACUGUACAUACGUUCGCGCUUUGCUUGAGCUAACGAAACGAAACAGUAGAUCACUGCUGUAAGGAGUCAGAGGAAUGUUCCUGGCUUCUUGGAUUACUCUGAGCGUCACAUCCACGCCCAUGCCCCCCUCUUUCUGAUGUGUACAUAUAUUUAGCAACGACACGUGUACAGAAAAAAGAUCUUGUAUGUGACGAGACGUUUUAGAGUAUUUUGCCUAAUCGAGGCUCUGCUCCUGUUGGCCGGCCUGCGAUGUUGCUUUAGCUGCGAGUGGCAAUUUUGUGCUUUUUACCGGUGGCAUAGCCUGCUUUGAUGAUGCUAGGACCUGCCGUGUGCAAUAGAUAAAUGAGGGUGUUGCAAAGAGUAACGGCAAAUAUCUGUGGUGCUUGUAAUAAUUUCACUCUUACAAAUACAUUUUCUCACGUUUUCAACCGUCCUUUUUUUUUUUUCAUUUUCCAGACAACUUCGCAAUGGUGCGUAAAAUUCCAUGUUCCAUCACAUAAAAUUGCCUUUUUCGCUAUGCUUUCAGCCAGAAAUCGCCCAGUUAUCAGACAUCUUCAGCGCUUUGAAAUCUCUGUCCACUUCAGUUUCGCCCAUAUGUAAAUGCUGUUGCACGCUCAUAGUUUUGCUGACACAAGACACGUGUAACCGGAGAUCUCUGGAGGAGGCCUCGCACCCACCAAACACAAAAGUCUGAUUGGUUAUCCGUUGUGUUAGAUAGUGCAAGGUCUUCCUGAUCAUGUGCAUCCUGCCUCCUAUUGCGAUGUGCCGACACCCUCUCUACGGGCACACCUUAUCCAUGCCUGGCAGUUCCAUAUGCCUGGCAUGUUUACUUCGAAAUGCAGAUCUAGUUUGCCGCUACUCUUUGACUUGCUCUCAUGGGAGGAUGAUUAUUAUUAAGGUCCGUUGAGGCAAAGUGAAAUUGUAUUACGCAAGGUCUCUCCGUGUCUCCAACUGUUUUGUACAAAAACAUUUUGGUGAUUUUGUAACCUUUCUGGUGCACAGUGCGAAUUUUUCAGGUAAAUACUAAGCAGUAAAAGAUAUGGGCUUGUGUUCCACUGCUAUGACCACUGCAGCUUAUGACUCUUUAUACUAGCAUGUGACAUUGGUUUCGGCGCUCUCUAAAGGUAGGCACUCCUGUGUUUGUGACCUACUGCCAGCAUGUGUAAACUGCUCACAGUUUGCCUUCAGUGACUG
rnacentral:misc_RNA from 1 species